rnacentral:lncRNA from 1 species
UUUUUUGCGUCUGUUUUUCCUAGUUUUGUGCAGUAUCAGCUGUAGAUCGAAUUUGGAUCUUGGUAAUUUAUUUGUUUUGCUUCUCUAAAAGCUUUUUACUUUAUCUUUGUCUUGAUUUUACUUGGUCAAUUUUGUGUAAUCCUCUGCAUUUUCCCUACAUUUACCCUACUACUGUCAGGGCUACAUCAGUGGUAGCGGUGUCAGCCCUUUUGAUUUUUGGGUCGUGAUAUUUUUUCUGUGUUUUCAGGUAAUUUUCGAACUUAAGAAAGACAAGUUGGGCGCACAAACACUAGCAAAGGAGAGUAACCGGGAAGAGCGACAUAAAAGGACGGUGGGAAGCGGAUCGUGAGCAUACCAAUGCAUCGAGUACAACAAGUUAACACAGGUUUGGUUCGCAGGAGUUGGUACCUCUCGUUCUACGGUUUCCUUUUGGUGUUAGCUAACUUGAGGUUACUUUAGAUCAAAAUAGUUCAAUAAUUCUACUUGUGUACUUGUAGGCACUUGCAUAUUUUAGUUUGAUUCGUUGUCUGUUGUGCUCUAGCGAGUUUCUUCAUAUUGGAUGUAGGUGUAGUGGCUGCAGUCUGGGAUGAUAGAUUGAGGGCAUGUCCUCGUGUGGAGAAGAGUGUGGGGACGGGGUCAGGGUGUGGGACGGGAGGACGGGGAGGUAGAGGGGGCAAGGGAGCCUAUAGGUUGAGAAUCGGGUCAUGGAACAUAGGUUCGCUAACAAGUAGAUCAAUAGUGUUGGCGAAGAUCCUUCAAAAGAGGAAGAUUAAUAUAGCGUGUGUCCAUGAGAUGAGGUAGGUAGGAUCGAGGGUGAGAAACACGGAUGGGUAUAAGCUGUGGUACUCUGGAGGCUUGAGGGGUAAGAACGAAGUGGGUAUUCUGGUUGAUAGCCACCUUAGAGAGUCGAUGGUUGAGGUAGGCGGGUGAAUGAUAGACUAAUGACCGUUAAGUUCGUGGUGGGUGAGUGUACUUUAAAUGUCAUCAGCGCAUAUGCACCGCACAUAGGCUUGAAUGAGGAGAUUAAAAGGCGCUUUUGGGAGGGGUUGGAUGACAUCGUUCGUAGUAUUCCGCUUUNNNNNNNNNNNNNNNNNNNNNNNNNNNNNNNNNNNNNNNNNNNNNNNNNNNNNNNNNNNNNNNNNNNNNNNNNNNNNNNNNNNNNNNNNNNNNNNNNNAUCAUUCGUAGUAUUCCGUUUUCCGAGAGGUUGUUUAUAGGAGGAGAUUUUAAUGGUCAUAUUGGGUCAUCUGCAGGUUGUUAUACUGCGGUACAUGGCGGCUUUGGUUUCAGAGAGCGGAAUGGAGGGGAAACUUCAUUGCUGGACUUCGCCAAGGCAUUCGAUUUAAUGAUUGCAAACUCUAGUUUUCCUAAGCGGGAGGAGCAUUUGGUCACUUACCAAAGUUCGGUGGCGAAGACUCAGAUUGACUAUCUCCUUCUCGGGAGAUGUGACAGAAGGUUGUGCGUGGAUUGUAAAGUUAUCCCAGGUGAGACCCUUGCGACACAAAAUAGGCUUUUGGUGAUGGACAUUAGUAUUAUAAUAAGGAGGAAGAAGAGGUCAGUAUGAGGCUGCCCGAGGAUAAGGUGGCGCGCCCUGACUGAGGAUAAAGCUCAGGCGUUGGUAGGAAGGUUAUCAGAAUUGGUAUCUUGGAGAAGUAGUGGGGAUGCAAAUACUAUGUUGUCAACGACGACAGAAUGCAUAAGGAAGGCGGCGAUAGAGGUGCUAGGACAUCUUCGCGACGCACUGGGGGCCACGAAGGAGACUUUUGGUGUAAUGCAGUUGUCCAAGGUAAAGUGGAAGCGAAGAAGGCAGCUUACCUACGGGUAGUAGAGAGCACUGGAGAGGAGGAGAAGAGAGAGAACAAUGAGAGAUAUAAGGUUGCUAGGAGGGAGGCGAAAAUGGCAGUUACGGAGGCUAAGCCGACAGCUUAUUCUCGUAUGUAUGAGGAGCUAGGGAACAAAGGUGGGAAGAAGAAGCUGUUUCAACUGGCUAAGGUGAGAGAGAGGAUGGCUCAGCAUCUAGACCAAGUGAGAUGCAUAAAAGAUGAUAACGGCAAAGUUUUGAUGGGGGAUGAGCAUACAAGAGGAGAUGGCAGACAUACUUUCAUAAACUUCAUAAUGAAGAAGGGGAUCAGGAUACUGUACUAGGUGAUUUGUGAAAUCUUGAUAGACCAUAUGAGAUAAGUGAUUGUAGGGACUUCGAGGUUGAGGAGGUCAUAGAGGCAAUGCAUAAGAUGAGGAAGGGCAGAGCAACCGGACCAGACGAAAUUCCGGUUGAACUUUGGAAGUGUGUAGGCGGAGGAGGCUUGGAAUGGCUUACCGGAUUGUUUAAUGUUAUAUUCAAGACUAAUAGGAUGCCUGAAGAGUGGAGGUAUAGAACAAUGAUUCCAUUGUAUAAGUACAUAGGUGAUAUCUAGAGUUGUAACAGCUAUAGGGGUAUCAAAUUACUGAGUCAUACCAUGCAAGUCUGGGAGAGAAUAGUAGAAAUGAGAGUACGAAGGACAAUGUCUAUUUCAGACAAUCAGUUCGGAUUCAUGCCAGGGUGAUCUACCACAGAAGCUAUCCACCUUGUUAGGAGGAUCGUGGAACAAUACAGGGAUAAGAAGAAGGAUCUCCACAUGGUAUUUAUUGAUCUAGAGAAAGCGUACGACAGGGUUCCUAAGAAGGUCUUAUGGAGCUGCUUAGAGGGUAAAGGGGUUCCGGUAGCCUACAUUAGGGUGAUUAUAGACAUGUAUGAAAGAGCUAAGAUUCGGGUUAGGGUUCCUAUGGAGGUCUUAUGGAGAUGCUUAGAGGUUAAAGGAGUCCCAGUUUCCUACAUAAGGGUUUUUUCUUAAUUAUUGAAUUGAAGUUAUAUAAAAAAUGAACUGACAAAGCGUCUGUUCACGGAGUGAUUAAAGACAUGUAUGAUGGAGCUAAGACUCGGUUUAGGAUAGUAGGAGGCGACUCCUAGCAUUUUCCGAUUGUUACGGGGUUGCACCAAGGUUCUUUGUUCAGCCCUUUCCUCUUUGCCCUGGUGAUGGAUGCCAUAACGCAUAAUAUUCAAGGAGAGGUACCAUGGUGUAUGAUAUUUGCUGAUGAUAUAGUCCUAAUUGACGAGACAAGACGUGGCGUCAACGGGAGACUAGAGGUUUGGAGACAAGCUCCUGAGUCUAAAGGUUUCAGGUUGAGCAGGACGAAGACGGAAUAUCUUGAGUGCAAGUUUGGGCUCGAGCCGACGGACGCGGGAGUAGAACUGAGGCUUGACUCCCAUGUCAUCCCUCAGACGGUAGUUUCAAGUACCUUGGGUUAGUUAUUCAGGGGACCGGGGAGUGACGGACGUGGGAGUAGAAGUCAGGCUUGACUCCCAAGUCAUCCCUUAGAGGGGUAGUUUCAAGUACCUUGGGUCGGCUAUUCAGGGGACCGGGGAGAUCAACGAGGAUGUCGCACACCGUAUAGGGGUGGGGUGGAUGAAGUGGAGGUUAGCAACAUGAGUCAUGUGUGACAAGAAAGUGUCAUUGUUACUCAAAGGUAAUUUUUAUCGAGCAGUGGUUAGAUCGACCAUGUUGUAUGGGACCGAGUGUUGGCCAGUUAAAGACUCUCACAUCCAGAAGAUGCAAGUAGCAGAGAUGAGGAUGUUGAGGUGGAUGUGUGGUCAUACAAGUAUGGAUAAGAUUAGGAAUGAAGUUAUUCGAGAGAGGAUGGGUGUGGAGCCCAUAGAGGACAAGAUGCGGGAAGUAAGACUCAGAUGGUUCGGGCAAAUUCAGAGGAGGAGCACUAAUGCACAGGUGAGAAGUUGUGAGCAAUUGGCGGUGCUGGACACGAGGAGAGGUAGAGGGAGACCUAAGAAUUAUUGGAGAGAGGUGAUCAGGCAGGACAUGAUGCGACUUAGGAUUACUGAGGGCAUGGCCCUUGACAUGGGAUUGUGGUAGUCGAGCAUUAAGGUUUUAGGUUGGGUGGAAGUUGGGAAUAUUUUUACAGCGCGCUAGAGUGAGACUAGAAGUUAGGCUUAGAAUCAGCUACUGAUGCAGGGCUUUAUAUUAUAGAUAUUAGUAUACUUUCCUCUUUCUCGUUUUCUUAUAUUCCUUAUAUUGUUAUUAUUUUAUUAUUUAUGUUAUGUUGUAUAUUUUAUGUUAUUUAUCAUGAGUUUAUUGCUAGUACUAAUAUAUUGCCAUUUGUUUUUGUUACAAGUUUCCUUCUUGAGCCGAGGAUCACCUGGAAACAGCCUCUCUGCCCUAAGGGUAGGUGUAAGGUCUGCGUACAUAUUACUCUCCCCAAACCCCACUUGUGGGAAUACACUGGGUUGUUGUUGUUGUAAGUUUGACUGGGCAAUAAGCUUUCCAAAAUUUGCUCACAAAAACUUGAAUACCAAAAUGAUCGACUACAUGGCAUACUAUCUUAGCGUCACCAGUGUAUAUAUAAAAAAACUAAAACUUAAAAUACAAUAUUUUUUAUGAUAGCAAUAAUGGUAGCAAUAGCGGUAGGAAGGAAAUUUUACGGUGGAAAAAACAUAGAAUGGAGGGGUAAAAUGGAUUAGGAGCAUUAAGGUGGCAAGCCAUAUGGUAUCCAUAUCAUCUCAUAUUGGUGUCAUGUAGUAUUACAUGUCUAUAUUGAAUAAACUUAACGAAAAAGGAGUACAUUUGAAUCAAUAGUAUAACAACAAGGAUACGAUUGGACUCAAAGUAUAAUGAAGAUACAUUUGGUAUAUGAGUAUAUUUGACCCUUUUUCGAAUUUAAUAUUAUCUUAUACUUCAUUUGAUUUUACAUUAUUAGCUUAUAAGCAUAUUGGUAUAAUUGAUAUAAUUUUGCACCACAUUUAAUGCAGAUAACCAGGGGUUUGUAAAACAAAUCGACUUAUAGCACCAAAUCGAUAAUUCAAGUCAAUCCGAUUAUUGAUUUUGCUUUAUUUGAUUUGGUGUUGAAAAAAAAAUCGACCAUAAUUGGUUUGGUUUGGUUUUAACUAAAAACAAAAAAUUCAAACCAAAACAAAAUCAACCCGACAUUAUAUUAGAAAUUUUAGACGUAUUUAAUAAAUAAAUAUACUUAUUGUGAUGUAAAUUAUAAAUAAUUCUUAAAAAUUUUUCAUAACGUUAUAGUUUAAGGUAUUAUUUCAAGAUUGAACUCAAAACUUUUGAAUGUUCCAAUAAAUUGUAUAGCGAUUAUUAUUAGUAACUCGAACAAUACUAAGUAACGUUUAAACCAAAAUCAAAUCAAUACUAAUGCUAACAAAAGACAUUUAAUUCAAUGUUAGGAAUGAAAAUGUAUUGAAUAUCUAUUUUUUUUUAUUUUGCAACGAUUUAGAUAAAAAUAUAUUACCUACUUUAUUUUUUCUUUGACGUUUGGUCAUGUAAUUAAUACUUCCUUAUUAGUCUAUUUAUUUUAUCAUGACUUAGUACUUUUAGAUUGCAUUUCUUUUUUCAUUAUGCCUUUUUAAUUAGAAAUAUUUAUAUUACGUGAUUUUAUUGUCUUUAUUAUUGAAUAUUUUAGGGUAGCGCCAUGACACAUCACAUAUUUUGUAUUAUUUUCUUGAAAAGCAUCUUAUACAGUUGUAUCUUACUAGAAUUAAAGAAAUAUUUGGAGCACAAGUUAUAUAUUUUGUGCUUUGAUGAUUUUACAGGGAAAAAACCUCCGAAAAAACACGAAAAACCCGAAAACCUGAGAUUGAAAAAUUCGAGUUUUAUUAGUUUGAUUUGGUCUUUAGAUUUAAUAACCCAACAAAAUUAAUUAGGUUUGGUAAUUAAAAAACCUGAGAUAACCCAACCUAUAUACACCCCUAUGGAUAACAAUCGAAGGUUAGCUAUAUCUAGAUAAAUCAAGUAAAUAACAAAAUCGUCCUUUAUAACAAUGGCCUUUUGUGAGGAUUACUGGGAAUGUUAAAUUGAAAUUAGAAAAAAAAAUUAUUCAAAUUUUGUUUACUUGAAAAUUGAACACAUUUUAAAUUGUUCAUCGUGUAUAUAUAUAUAUAUAUAUAUAUAUAUAUGUUAUUUUUAAUACAAUGAAAAGUAAUUGUGACGACCCGAGUCGCCGUCCCAUGUGUUACUGCUCUUUUUCUUCCGUUUAUUUCCUCUUCAAAAUUCAUUAUCGGUAUGUGGUGUGUGAAAGUUGAUUUGGAAGUGUUUUGAUAAGAAAUGAGGCACUUGGUCUCUUUAAGGAAGGCUUAAGUUGGAAAAGUAAACUGAACAUGACUUAUGAGUUAUAGAGCUCGGAUGUGAUUUUUGGUGAUUUCGUUGGCUUCGGAGGAUGAUUUGUGACUUAGGAGUGCGAUAGGGUCUAUUUUGGAGGUUCGGUGUAGAAUUUGGCCUGAAUUGGCGAAGUUAGUAUUUUGACAAAUUCCGGUGGAUAGGUGAGAAUUUGAUUCGAGGGUCGGAAUAGAAUUUCGAGAAUUGAUGUAGCUUUGUUAGGUGAUUUUGGAUAUGUGUGCAAAUUUUCAGGUCAUUCAGAUGUCGUUUGGUCAGGUUGCUGAUCGAUAGUGCAUUUCGGAAGUUUUUGAAGAACUUAGGCUUUGAUUUGAUGAAGUUCUAUGAUUUUGAUGUUAACGGUAGUGUUUUUAUGGUUCGCGCGAGUUUGUAUAAGGUAAUACAAUAUACAUGUGCUUUUGGUUGAGGUCCCGGGGUCCUCGGGCUAAGUUCGGGUGGUUAAACGGAGAGUUUUGCAGUUUUGGCAUGAUUUAAGCUUCUGGUACCUGGUAUUACGCAUAUGCGGAAAAAGGGGCCGCAUAAACGGUUCCGCAGAUGGGGUGGAAGGGGUCGCAAAAGCAGUCCUUGAGGGCCUGGGCAAUUCCGCAAAAACGGGCAGUGUUCUGCAAAAGCGGUCUCUACAGGAGCGGAAGUGGACCGUAGAAGUGGUACUGGGUGAGUUAGUGGAAACCGCAGAAGCGGGUUAGACACCACGGAUGCGAAAAUGACUAUUUUCAGAAGGGAUUUCAAAUGACAUUUCAUCCUUGACUUGGGGGUUAUUUUCCUCCAUUGUUGAGCAUCUUGGGAGCUUUUUGGCAGCAAUUGAAAAGGGUUUCGACUGGAGUUUAUUGGAGGUAGGAUUUUUGAGUUAAAAACAUGAUUAUAUUGUGAAAUUGGUCUAGAUAUUCAUGGAAAUUGAGCCUAAAACUUAUGAACUAGGGCUUGAAUUUUGAUAUUUCAAAUUUGGGAUUUGAUAGAUCAUUUGAGCUCGGAUUUGAGAGUUCUUGGUCUAUAUGGACUCGUGAUGAAAUGAGGACUCUGGUAAUGUGAGUUUUGUAAUUUUUUGGAAAGCGGACCUGUGGCUCGGGUUUUGGUAGUUUCGAGAUUUUUUUUAUUUCUCGGUUAUUUUCAAUUGAGUGUUGUUCCCUUAGCAUAUUGUGAUGCAUUCGCUCUGAUGUUGGUUAUAUACGACGCGCUGGAGGCCUGUUUGAGGAGCAAAGGCGUAGCGGCUAGAGAUUUCAUCAGUUCGAGGUGAGUAAUACUUGUAAAUGAUAUUCUAGUCAUUUGAGCUCGGAUUUGGGAGUUCUUGGAAUGGAUGGACUUGUGUCGAGAUGAGGAGUCCAGCAAUGUGAGUUUUGUAAUUUUUCGGAAAGCAGGUCUGGGGCUCAGAUUUUACAAGUUUCGAGAUUUUUGCUACUUCUCGAUUAUUUUCAAUUGACUGUUGUUCCCUUAGCAUAUUGUGAUGUAUUCGCUCUGAUGUUGGUCAGAUACGACGCGCGUGGAGGCCUAUUUGAGGAGCGAAGGCGUCGCGGGCUAGAGAUUUCACUAGUUCGAGGUGAGUAAUACUUGCAAAUGAUAUCCUGAGAGUUUGAAACCCCGGAUUUGCACAUCAUAGUACUGUAUUAAGGUGACUUGCACGCCGUAUAGGGGCAUGGGGUAGAGCACCGUUGGGGAUUGUGAUAUUGGUCCGCCCCGAUUGUUGAUUUUACUGCAUAUUUGACUGAAACUACUUGACAUUAUCCUGAUUUGGGCUAAUUGCAAUGUAUUGGGAUUCGUGCCGAUUAUUUGAAUCUUUCAGGGAUUGAUAUAAUUGUUUUUGAAUUAUGCUGCAUAUUAUUUUAUCUUGGUCCAAGGUUUUAAAUAUUGUUUUGCAAACUCAGCCAUUGUUCUAAGAUGUGAAAAACUUAAAUGAUAUUUUACUGACGUUUUGAGCUUAGAGUUGUUAUCUUAAUAUUGCCCAAGUGGCUUAUGUGUAUUUCUGGAUUGUGCAUGGAUCGGGCUGCACGUCGCAGCUGUGUGAUAUUGAUAUUGUGCUUGGGCUAUAGGAGCCCCUCCCGAGUCUGAACCUUCACAGUGAGCGCGGGUACCCAAAUGCAUCGGGUUGCGCGCCGCAGCAGUCAUAUGCAUUGCAUUACAUUCACGUAUUUGAUCCUAUUUGUACUACAUAACAUGGCAUUCAACACUCUCAUACAAUUGACAUCCAUGUUAUUUCUUGCACUAUUACCAAUACCCUUGUGUUAUUUGUUAAUGUAGUGUUGUGCCCGAGGGGCUGAUUUAUGUAAGAACUUGCACUAUCUGAUUUGCAUCCAUUUGCUUGACUGUUGGAAAAAGGAUAUUUUCAAAAGAGAUUGUUAAACUGAGUCAGAUAUUUUCAAAAGGAUUUUCUCGGACUUACUAUUUUCUCAGAGGGUCGUGAUGUACCAUAUUGCUUGAUAGAGUACUCUUACAUGACUUAUGGCCGCUUAGUUAUUAUUUACUCUUAUUAAUCACUAAGUUGGAGUACUCACUUUACUCCCUACACCUCAUGUGCAGUUGCAGGUAUUGUUCACCCGGUAGCGGGUUAUUAGCGGAUUGAAGGUAUUACUAUUGUAUCUGAGCAAGG